rnacentral:rRNA from 1 species
AGGGUGCAGGGCGGAUGCCUUGGCACUAGGAGCCGAUGAAGGACGUGAUAAGCUGCGAUAAGCUUCGGGGAGUUGCACGUAAACUUUGAUCCGAAGAUUUCCGAAUGAGGAAACUCACUUAGAGUAAUGUCUAAGUAUCAUUAAGUGAAUACAUAGCUUAAUGAGGGGAACUCAGGGAACUGAAACAUCUAAGUACCUGAAGGAAGAGAAAGAAAUUCGAUUCCGUAAGUAGCGGCGAGCGAACGCGGAUUAGCCCAAACCAAUAAAGUUUUCUUUAUUGGGGUUGCGGACAUAUCAUAACGAAGAGGUAUCGUAAUUGAAGAGGUUUGGAAAGACCCACCACAGAAGGUAAUAGUCCUGUAUGUUAAACGAGAAGACUUUAGAUAUGAUCCAGAGUACCACGGGACACGUGAAACCCUGUGGGAAGCAGGAGGGACCACCCUCCAAGGCUAAAUACUACCUAGUGACCGAUAGCGUAUAGUACCGUGAGGGAAAGGUGAAAAGAACCCCGGGAGGGGAGUGAAAUAGAACCUGAAACCCUGCACUUACAAGCUGUGGAAGCACAUUUCUUGUGUGACCGCGUACUUUUUGUAGAACGGGCCAACGAGUUACGUUAAGUAGCAAGGUUAAGCACUUAAGGUGCGGAGCCGUAGCGAAAGCGAGUUUUAACUGAGCGUUCAGUUACUUGACGUAGACCCGAAACCGGGCGACCUACCCAUGAGCAGGAUGAAGCGAAAGUAAAAUUUCGUGGAGGUCCGAACCCACGAGCGUUGAAAAGCUCGGGGAUGACUUGUGGGUAGCGGUGAAAUUCCAAUCGAGCCCGGAGAUAGCUGGUUCUCCCCGAAAUAGCUUUAGGGCUAGCCUCAAGGUGAGAGAUACGGAGGUAGAGCACUGAAUGUCCUAGGGGGUAUUGCACCUACCGAAGACUAUCAAACUCCGAAUGCCGUCAUCUUAUACUUGGGAGUCAGACUGUGGGUGAUAAGAUUCAUAGUCGAAAGGGCAACAGCCCAGAUCGUCAGCUAAGGUCCCUAAAUGUAAGUUAAGUGGUAAAGGAUGUGGGAUUGCACAGACAACCAGGAUGUUGGCUUAGAAGCAGCCACUCAUUCAAAGAGUGCGUAAUAGCUCACUGGUCGAGUGAUCCUGCGCCGAAGAUUUCCGGGGCUAAAACUUACUACCGAAGCUACGGCAUCAGUAAUGAUGGGUAGGGGAGCUUCCCAUACGGGUUGAAGCAUGACCGUAAGGACAUGUGGACAGUAUGGGAGUGAGAAUGUUGGCAUGAGUAGCGAGAUGUGGGUGGGAAUCCCACAGGCCGUAAACCCAAGGUUUCCAGGGGAAGGUUCGUCCGCCCUGGGUUAGUCGGGACCUAAGCUGAGGCCGAAAGGCGUAGGUGAUGGACAACAGGUUGAUAUUCCUGUACUACCGAUAACCGUUUGAGAGAAGGGAUGACACAGUAGGAUAAGCUAAGCACACUGUUGGUUAUGUGUGCCCAAGCAUUGAGGCAGUCAAAGUAGGCAAAUCCGCUUUGAUAAUGCUGGGAUGUGAUGGGGAGCGAAAUUUAGUAGCGAAGUAGCUGAUUUCACACUGUCAAGAAAAGUCUCUAUCGAGGUUAAAGGUACCCGUACCGCAAACCGACACAGGUGGGUGAGGAGAGUAUCCUAAGGCCAGCGAGAGAACUGUUGUUAAGGAACUCGGCAAAAUGACCCCGUAACUUAGGGAUAAGGGGUGCCACCAUCAGGUGGCCGCAGAGAAUAGGCCCAAGCGACUGUUUACCAAAAACAUAGGUUUCUGCUAAGUCGCAAGACGAUGUAUAGGAGCUGACGCCUGCCCGGUGCUGGAAGGUUAAGGGGAUCUGUUAGAGCAAUCGAAGCAGUGAACUUAAGCCCCAGUAAACGGCGGCCGUAACUAUAACGGUCCUAAGGUAGCGAAAUUCCUUGUCGGGUAAGUUCCGACCCGCACGAAAGGCGUAACGAUUUGGGCACUGUCUCAACAACAGACUCGGUGAAAUUGUAAUUCCGGUGAAGAUGCCGGAUACCUGCGACAGGACGGAAAGACCCCAUGGAGCUUUACUGUAGCUUGACAUUGGGUCUUGGUACUACAUGUACAGGAUAGGUGGGAGGCUUUGAAACCAGGACGCCAGUUUUGGCGGAGCCAUCCUUGGGAUACCACCCUUGUAGUACUGGGACUCUAACCAUAGGCCAUGAAUCUGGUCUUGGGACACUGUCAGGUGGGCAGUUUGACUGGGGCGGUCGCCUCCCAAAAGGUAACGGAGGCGCUCAAAGGUUCUCUCAGUACGGUCGGAAAUCGUACGUAGAGUGUAAAGGCAAAAGAGAGCUUGAUUGCAAGACAUACAGGUCGAGCAAGGAUGAAAAUCGGACUUAGUGAUCCGGUGGUUCUGCGUGGAAGGGCCAUCGCUCAACGGAUAAAAGCUACCCUGGGGAUAACAGGCUUAUCUCCCCCAAGAGUCCACAUCGACGGGGAGGUUUGGCACCUCGAUGUCGGCUCAUCACAUCCUGGGGCUGUAGUAGGUCCCAAGGGUUGGGCUGUUCGCCCAUUAAAGUGGUACGCGAGCUGGGUUCAGAACGUCGUGAGACAGUUCGGUCCCUAUCCGUCGCAGGCGUAGGAAAUUUGAGAAGACCUGUCCUUAGUACGAGAGGACCGGGAUGGACGUACCUCUGGUGUACCAGUUGUUCUGCCAAGGGCAUGGCUGGGUAGCUAUGUACGGAAUGGAUAAGCGCUGAAAGCAUCUAAGCGCGAAGCCAACUUCAAGAUAAGAUUUCCCACCGCAAGGGUAAGACCCCAGAAAGACUAUCUGGUUGA